GUAAUACUGAGCCUUCAUUCAAACUAAAAGGCUGGAAGGGAGGCAGCUGCCUUUGUUUGCCAUGGAUGGGUAGGGGCUGCACUGAGCAGCACCGGUGUUCUUCAUCCGGCUGCACCCCCAACAGAGCUCUUUCUUCCCCAGAUCCCUUUUACAGUUGGAUUCUCCCUCUUGGAUCUGGCUCUGCCUUAGUCCGACCUAGAGGGAUCAGCUUCGCCCACGCCCACUCUCACCCGGAACCUUUCAUCUCUUAUUGAAGCCUUUUAGGCCCAUUGGGAUGUUCAUUAGAACUCUGAAAACUACAGUUCUCCCCUUUAUGAGGACUGCACCACAGCUCGCCCUCUCCUGGGUUCCGGAAAACCUCAGUUCAGAAAAGCAAUAAACUAUGGGGGGGGUGGCUGUUUAGAAUGUUGCAUCUCUGGAGAGCAAGUUGCAUUUUAACAAUGAUCAGAGCCUUUAAUUAAGGAGUGAAGGUCAAAUCAUUUCUGCUUCAUCCAGCCUGGUUGCAGAGUGAGCCCAUGGGACAGCCCUCUGAAAUUAUACUGCUUACAACCAUGCUGAGUCUGCAAGGACUUCGUCCAAGCCUUUCCGUCCAGGACCUCAAACAGAUCCAAUCACAAGAAGAGAGAUUUCAGGAAAGAGAAAAUUAUUCCUAUCAUCGGGGUUUUUGAAGAACAUGAAAUGACUGGGAAAAUAAUCAUGUUAAGUGGAAAAAAAAAAGAAAUCUAUCUGUUGUAAUUUUCAAAUAAUUUUUAAAUAAAUUUGAAAAAUUAAGAGAACUAUAUAUAUAAUACAUUCCUAAUCUUGUGAAAAA
rnacentral:lncRNA from 1 species